UACGUAGGUGGCAAGCGUUGUCCGGAUUUAUUGGGUUUAAAGGGUGCGUAGGCGGCCUAUUAAGUCAGUGCUGAAAUCCUCCGGCUUAACCGGAGAUGUGGCAUUGAUACUGAUGGGCUUGAGUACAGAUGAGGUAGGCGGAAUUGACGGUGUAGCGGUGAAAUGCUUAGAUAUCGUCAAGAACACCUAUAGCGAAGGCAGCUUACUAGGCUGUAACUGACGCUGAGGCACGAAAGUGUGGGGAUCAAACAGG
rnacentral:rRNA from 1 species